rnacentral:rRNA from 1 species
UAAUACGGAGGAUGCAAGCGUUAUCCGGAAUUAUUGGGCGUAAAGCGUCCGUAGGUGGUUAUGCAAGUCUGCCGUUAAAGAAUGGAGCUUAACUCCAUAAGAGCGGUGGAAACUGCAAGACUAGAGUACAGUAGGGGUAGCAGGAAUUCCCAGUGUAGCGGUGAAAUGCGUAGAUAUUGGGAAGAACAUCGGUGGCGAAAGCGUGCUACUGGGCUGAAACUGACACUGAGGGACGAAAGCUAGGGUAGCGAAAGGG